rnacentral:rRNA from 1 species
AUGUAUACAUAUCUUGAAAGAAACAUCUCAGGUUGCAAUUAUCGGUGGAUCUGGAAAGCCCGUAUCCCUUUGAAAAUUCAGAUUUUCAUGUGGCAAUUGUCGCAGGAUACGGUGCUGACUAGGGACGUGAUGAAACAUCGUGGGUGGAAAGGGGAGCCAAAGUGCUUGUUUUGUGGGGAAAGGGAGACUUCCCAACAUCUACUUUUCACGUGCCCUGUUGCGAGAGUUACAUGA